AGCGAACGCUGGCGGCAGGCCUAACACAUGCAAGUCGAGCGCCCCGCAAGGGGAGCGGCAGACGGGAGAGUAACACGUGGGAACGUACCCUUCAGUUCGGAACAACCCAGGGAAACUUGGGCUAAUACCGAAUACGUCCGUAAGGAGAAGGAUUUAUCGCUGAAGGAUCGGCCCGCGUCUGAUUAGCUAGUUGGUGAGGUAACGGCUCACCAAGGCGACGAUCAGUAGCUGGUCUGAGAGGAUGAUCAGCCUCACUGGGACUGAGACACGGCCCAGACUCCUACGGGAGGCAGCAGUGGGGAAUAUUGGACAAUGGGCGCAAGCCUGAUCCAGCCAUGCCGCGUGGAUGAUGAAGGCCCUAGGGUUGUAAAGUCCUUUUAACGGGGAAGAUAAUGACGGUACCCGUAGAAUAAGCCCCGGCUAACUUCGUGCCAGCCGCCGCAGUAA
rnacentral:rRNA from 1 species